GUUAUACUCGAGAUUAAGCGACUUGCUUCUCAUCAAGGGUAAAGCAAAUGCUCAGCAGAGUUGGAAGGAUCUUAAGAAUGAGAAGCUUUCUAGGUUGAGGGAUAAGCUCCAGAAUGAAAUGGAGAAAUUGCAGAAAAGGAGAGCUACAGUUGAGAGACUGUCUCGCAAUUUGAAAGAGAGAUGUGGCAUUGUUGAAUCGGCUACUGUCAUCGUAAUACAAAGAUCUUUUUCCG